CUGAGAUGGAAAUUAUGAUCAAUUUUUAUUUUUGGUCCGGGUUGAAUUGGGAAUAAAAUUGUCAAGACUGUUUUCGGAAAGGUUCAUUUGGAACAUCAGCAGAUGGCGAAGCAUAUACGAGUUUAUCGCACUUUGUCUUUUCCAAUAAGCACCUGCAUUGGAGCUAGAUAAAAUGAUGUAAAUACUCUGACAGUGCUCGUUUGUUAUCUGCAACAGAUAAAGUUAUCAUCACUAGUUUCGCUUUCCUCUAGGCAUGUGGAUAAACUUCCGUAAACGCUUAAACAUCAUAGAUUAUUCAUUACUUUUCAACGAUUUAUUUCACAACGUGCUGUACAAGGAACAGAUGUAGUGUAUUGUCAGUAAUGAGCGAAUUGCGCACGCAAUUCAAAGAAUGGGAUCUGCUUAUAAACCUUUUCCGAAGGAGGGAAAGUUAGCAGCAGAAAGUGAAAACAAUGUCGAUUACAAUGUCCCAGCAUUUCGGUGCGCAUAUUUACAUAAGUACGCUGCAUGUUAUUCUGCUAUAUCUUUUCAAAUUGUGAAUAAUUUAUUAUCAAAUGCGGAUGACAUAUAUUACUAUUUUAAUUCAAAAAAGACUUUAAAGCUCUACAGCUUAGGUGGAAGACCUGGAACAGACGUCAUUGCUACGCAAGCAGUCCUAUCUGCUUACUUCAGUAUUCCACUCUGUUUUGCUACGAUCAUGUAGAUCUCGCCGAAGACUGGUACGAAACAUUUAGCUCUGCUUUGGCGGAACUGCAAUCUGGAUGCUACGGUGUAAUAGGUCAAGUGGUCUUAUCGGAAUUUUUCAAUUUCCAGUACUUAGGUGCGGAUUUGAAGGAUGAUACAAAGUAUAUCAUGGAAUUUACACCUACGUAAUGUCAUAAUGUCUGCCGAUGUAAUAACAAUGGUUAAAUUUAUUUCCUCUACUGCAAGUGUAAAUGCGAAAAGAAUUCUCAAGCUUGACUCUGGAUGGUAUUUAGAUUUUGAUAAAGUUUGAAGGCUUGGACAGAAAUUAUCUUCAUCAAGGAUAAUAGAUGCCCAUUGGUCAGUCGGGUUUUAUACAUAUUAAUUCCAAAUGUGAAAAAAAGCUGUUGACUUAUAAAUAUAUUCCCGAACAAGAAGUUAUUCUUAGUGCAAAAAUUCAAAAUUUGUUGUUUAAUGAGAAGGAAUAAAAAUUAAUAAAAUCUGUAUCUUCAAAUCUUUGAAUAAAAUUUAUAUCACACUGUAA